UCCAGCCGUGAACAAGAAUGGAGCCGAGAAGAUUAUUCACCUCCGGUCUGCCAUGGGCCCGAGCUGUCCUCUGCCUAUAGAUGCCAUACUUCCUGGAGACGUUGAUGUUGGGGUGUGGAGCAGGGAAGGAGAAAGAAUGUCUUAAACCCAGCAAAUGUCUGAAACGCUCUGAACGUCUUCAGAAGAAGUGUGCUGACUCCUGAGCUAUUGCAAUAUGACAAGACAAAUUUUGUUGACAAGGAAGAAUAUGCUCUUGGGACAUUUCAUAGACCAUUUCACUGAUUUAUUAUUAACCAAAUGUCUCCUACAUGCCUGAUACAUUGCACGCGAUGGGAGAAAGUUACAAAUGCGUUCAUUCUUUCACUCAUUUUACAGCAGUAUGUACCGAGCUGUGUUCUAAGAGCGAGGCUGAUUCCUGGGGGUCCAGAACAAGAAGGACCCCAUCCGGCACCUCUGAUAGCAGGAUCCCAGUGUGUUUUUACCAAUAUCUCACUGCCUCUCUUUCCCAUUGAGGAUUCAGAGGGCAGUGAUAUGACUUCUUGAGCUUUCCAGCAGCAGGAUGGAGGGAAAGACCAACCCUGCAGACCCUCAGCCAGUGAAGCCAGGCCUGAGUCAGUAAGAGCAGUGCACUGGCUUCUGCGCCCCAAACUGUGUCAGGCAAUGCCAUGGCCCACUUCUUGCCUCUGGCAGAAGUCAACCUUCUGCUUUCCUUAAGAGGUGGUGGGGAACAGGUAGGAGUGGGGGGAGUCAGACUGCCCAAGCGUUAGCUCUGACUUGCAGCCUAGAGAUUAAGAGCAUGAACCCAGGGGCAGGCUUCUUGGGUUCAAAUCCCUGCUCAGUAUUAACCAACUACUUAACAUUAGGCAAGUGACCAAACUUUUCCCUGCCUCAGUUUCUUCAUGUGUACAACAGGCUGUAUAAUAAUAUGCCUUCCUCAAAGAGCUAUUGUGGAGAUCAAGUUAAUAGUGUCAGUUACUGGAUUAUUAUUAUUAUUAUUAUUAUUAUUAAGCUGUGUGACUUAGGAAAAUGACUUAGGCUCUCUGGACCUCAGUUGCUCCUUUAUGAAAUUGGGAUAAUAUAAAAAUAACAAUAAUUAAUUGCUUCAAAGAGUCUUAGUGAGAAUUUAAAUGAGGUAUUCCAUGUAAAACACGUCGCUUUGCUAUGGUGCCUGUCUAUGCUGAACGCUCAAUAAGCUAGCCAUUGUGCUCAAGCCAGCUAUUACUACCCUUGAAGUUACAGGGAAUUGUAUCCUAGGUCAGUAAUAUGCCUUUAAGCUAUUGGUCAGUCAAGUCCUUUUUCAAUAUCAAGGGAAUGUACGUCUGUGGUUAAUAUCACGUCUGGUCUGAGCCUUAAGUCCACUGCUCACUAAUGCUGCCACCUUGGUGGGCUAGGCGCUGACCCUCUCCACUUCCCGGACAGUGGAGGCAACAGGGCCGCUGUUCCCUGGGCGGCUGUGAGGGUUAAAAGAGGUUGCACACAUAAAGCACGUAGCAGGGUGUUUGGCACAUAGUAAGCACUCAAUAAAGGGUAGCUUGUAUUAUUAUCACCCCCACUCCUUGCUGCACCCCCACACCCGAGAAAGUACUGAACAUUAGUAAAUUUUAAUUUGAAAAUAAAAGAACACAUUUUAAAACUGCCAAACAGAUUUAAAAUAAUAUUCAUUAAACAAAAUUAAAAUAUUCUAUUAAAGCCAGACUUUGGGCUCAGACCAAAUUUUUAUAACCCAAGCUUAAAGGCCAAGGAGUCCCCCAGCCACAAUGGGGACAUUGUGAUUGAACUUGAGACUUCAACGCUGCUAUUGAGCAGUCUUUGAAAUGCACGUUUCCCCGUUAAAAUAAAAGGGAAGUCAUGGGAAGAAAAAAAAAUGAGAUUCUUGCUCACCCCAACAAACCUUAAUGAAUUGAAAAAGAAAAACAAAAGUUUUCUCAUUUUUUUCCUGCUGCCUUAUCCUGCCAAAGACGCAUGGCCCGCACCUAACCCCAGCUCUGACUGGUACCUACUCAGAAUGUCCCAGAUCUGAUAUGCUCUACCAGUUAACCUAGUCUAAAUCCUGGUCUUCACUUAUAUUUAUAGUUCAGUGCAUGACUGAGAGUCAGGAGUUGGGAGCCCUGCUGCCGGGUUGUGCCUCAGUUUCCCUAUUCCCAGAACAGAGAUUAAAUGUUGCAUAGGGCUAUGCUAAUGUGUAAGAGUUAGAUAUCCCUAUGGGUGUUUUAACCUGGUAUCAUUCUUGCAUGCAUGAAACUUCUCCAGGCUUCUGGGACUUUGAAGAAUUAAAGUAUACCAGUAUGCCUUUACCUGAGAGUGUUGAAUCAACAUAAUCUCAAUAUUCAGGGAGGAGAAUUGGAGAGGGAAGAAGUGGAUUUAAAAGUCUCUCACAGGAGUUAUGAUGUGUGAGGCACCUUCGCAAAACUCAUUUAAUCCUCUCUACAACCACAGCAAAAAUCCCAUGACAUGUGUGUAUCUGUUUAACAAAUGGGGACACUGGGGUUAGGACAGGGGAGUAGCUGCUGUCCAGUGGCAUUCCAUUCCAGGUCUCUCUGGCCCAAAGCCCAGGCCCGACCCUGCACGACCUGCAGCCCUUCUGCAGCAAGCACGCGGACGCUCGCAGAGACCUCUCCCUGACCCUCGGUGGGUUAUUUACGGCCGAUUCUGACAUUUCGGCAGCGUCCUUCAUCCUCAGUGAGCCCGAGUCUUUGUGGAUGUUUACCUGUGUUAUUAAGAAUGGAUGGACUCUUUCUCGAACAACAAGUGGAAAAAGUCACGGCAGUGGGCUGUGGCAGCCUUCUCUAGGUGACAGUCUUUGUAAGAAUCUCUGCAGAGUCUUGCCGACCAAGGGGCUGUGUCCUCCUCCUCAGACCAGGCCAGGCCCUUGGCUACCGUGCGGGGCUUUGCAGCAGAGUUGUCAGAGGUUGGGCCACUGUUGGGGAAGCGGGACUCCACACUCCAGCCCCCACCUGCUGUGUGAAGUUGGGCAGGUCACUGACGUCCUCUCAGCUCCAGACUCUUCCCCUAUUCAUGGGGCAAAUGCUGUCUCUCUGGGGUUUGUUAUACAACGUAAGCACGCUGAUGGCGGGAGCACAGUCUACGCGUUCCGAGAUUGGUGGGCUUAGGGUUCUAUGGAAUUGCGCCCACACCCCCAGAAGUACUCGAGGAAAGUGAAGAUUUCUUGCUCCCUGGACUUAUUCCCGACUGUUCUUCAGGUAGCGGCAUCUCGAGACUGUACACAUUCUGGAAGGAUCCACUAGUCUCCGAAGGGCAGUCUUCUUGCCAGCGGGGUGUGCACCCUCUCCACAUUCACUGAAAACAUGCCUGGACUUUUUUUGCAUGUUUUUGUCUUUAUUUUCUCAUGCAUCUGGAAAAGGUAGAACAAGAAUUUCAAACAAAUGGUUUCACCCACUUUAAAUGCUUAAGACCAAAAUGGUUUAAAAUCAAAUCCAUCAGGUAAUGAACUAGCAAAAGUGGCACCCAGGUGUGGCAGAUUCAUGAGCAAAGUCUGAGAAACACAAAUCUGAAAAUGUGACAUUUUCCAAAUAUCUGUUCAUUUACAUGAAAUCAUUUACUUCUCAAGCUCUUCCCCGCAAGCUGAUGGCAAUGAAUGAAUGCCCAAAUAACCAUCCUUCUAACCAGAACGGAACUUCUACACUCUGUUCUCAGGGGAAUAAAAUGAAACAAAUGAGGUCUCUCAAGGAUGUUGGGAAAGUUGUACCAGGGCACGCUAGUGUCUGAAUACAUUUAGCCUGUGUCUCAUAUCUUCACAAGAAGAAUGACUACCCUUUGGAUGACUGUAUUGUUAAUAAAAAUAACCUGUUGAGUGAUUG